GAUGAACGCUGGCGGCGUGCCUAAUACAUGCAAGUCGAGCGAACGGACGAGAAGCUUGCUUUUCUGAUGUUAGCGGCGGACGGGUGAGUAACACGUGGAUAACCUACCUAUAAGACUGGGAUAACUUCGGGAAACCGGAGCUAAUACCGGAUAAUAUUUUGAACCGCAUGGUUCAAAAGUGAAAGACGGUCUUGCUGUCACUUAUAGAUGGAUCCGCGCUGCAUUAGCUAGUUGGUAAGGUAACGGCUUACCAAGGCAACGAUGCAUAGCCGACCUGCGAGGGUGAUCGGCCACACUGGAACUGAGACACGGUCCAGACUCCUACGGGAGGCAGCAGUAGGGAAUCUUCCGCAAUGGGCGAAAGCCUGACGGGGCAACGCCGCGUGAGUGAUGAAGGUCUUCGGAUCGUAAAACUCUGUUAUUAGGGAAGAACAUAUGUGUAAGUAACUGUGCACAUCUUGACGGUACCUAAUCAGAAAGCCACGGCUAACUACGUG
rnacentral:rRNA from 1 species